CAAUAAAAAGUGAAACGUAUCAUUAUCAUAUUAUAUUUAUUGUUGGAAGAUUGCUGGAAAAUAUAAACAAACAGUCUACACAAGGAUAUAUACCUCAGAUAUAUAUGAAAGCCAACAAAAGAAAUAUAUAAAAAAAACAAAAACAGAAUAUAUAUUAAACAUGCAGAGAUGAUAUAUAUUAAAACGGCAAGACGUUGAUUAUACAUGAGUGUACGUAUUAGUUUCUCAAGGGUGUGAAGGCAGCGGAGGCCAUUUCCCGAACUUGGGGUGGUGAAUGUAUUUAGGAGGAAGAGGUGGAAACUUAGGAAGCGGUGGGAGUGGCGGACAUGGCUUCUUUGGAAUCACCACCGGUGGUUCGUAUACUGGUACCGGCGGAGGGCAUGGCUUUUUCGGAAUCACAACAGGUGGUUUAUAGAUUGGCGGAUGCUCUAUCUUCGGCGGCGGCUUGUAGAUUGGAACCGACGGUGGAAGAUCUAUCUUGGGCGGACAAGGUUUCUUCGGCGGCUUGUGGAUUGGUACAUGCGGUGGUAAGACUAUCUUUGGCGGCGGCUUGUGGACUGGAACCGUCGGUGGGUCAACUUUCUUUGGCGGACAAGGCUUCUUUGGUGGUGGUUUGUGGACUGGCACCGGCGGGGGAAGCUCGGCCUUCGGAGGACAUGGCUUCUUUGGGAUANNNNNNNNNNNNNNNNNNNNNNNNNNNNNNNNNNNNNNNNNNNNNNNNNNNNNNNNNNNNNNNNNNNNNNNNNNNNNNNNNNNNNNNNNNNNNNNNNNNNNNNNNNNNNNNNNNNNNNNNNNNNNNNNNNNNNNNNNNNNNNNNNNNNNNNNNNNNNNNNNNNNNNNNNNNNNNNNNNNNNNNNNNNNNNNNNNNNNNNNNNNNNNNNNNNNNNNNNNNNNNNNNNNNNNNNNNNNNNNNNNNNNNNNNNNUGGAGGACAUGGCUUCUUAGGGGUCGGCGGUGGAAGCUCUACCUUCGGCGGUGGGUCGUGAACUGGUACAGGAGGUGGGUGCUCAAUCUUCGGAGGUUUAGGUGGACAAGGCUUCUUAGUAAUCGGCGGUGGAAGUUCCACCUUUGGUGGUGGCUCGUGAACGGGGACAGGGGGUGGAACCUCUUCCUUUGGCGGUGGCUCGUAGACCGGAACCGGAGGAGGAACCUCCUCGGGAGGGCUGUAUUUAGGUGGACAGGGUAUCUUGAAUUUAGGAAAAGGUGGAAGUACCAAAGGCGGAUGAUCAAAGCCCUUGAAAGGAGGUAACUUAGGCAUAGGCCAGAAGAACUUGGAAACGCAAAUUUCGGGUGAAAACUUGAGGUUUUGUUUGAGACCCAAAACGUGUUUAUCCACGGACUUGGAUAAAAACACAAUCUUGGUGGAUUCAAGGCCGUCGUGAGCUGGACAAGGGGUACCCUUAGCGCUGUGAAGCUGAGCGUAACACUCCUCCUUUAAAGUUCCGUCGUCGGAGACAAUGUCAUGAGGAAUAGUCAGGCCAAACUUUCCUUUAUCGUCAAUGUUUCCGGAACCUUUUGUAACAAAAUGGCCUUUAUUCACCUUACAGUCGAUCGUCACUCGUAGUCCUGUAUAGCAAAUGAUCUUAAUUAAUUAUCAUACACAUUUAAUUUGAUCAAACAUUAUAAAAGUUAGUAAUGAAUGUGGGUUAUAUAUUAUGAAGUUGCCUGAAAAUGCAUGGGGGCUUUUGAUCUUGCUCUCGGCGUAACCGACAACCUCGACGACACGAGCGAGUGAGAGAGUCGCUGAAGUGAAGAGAAUAGACACGAGAAGGAGGAGGCAGAAGGGAACCGAACCUCGAGGUUCGGGUAAGAUCCUCAUUGGGAUUAUCACCCUCUGAGAUCUCUGACACACUUGUCUUUCGCUUGCUGAAAAUACUAAGUUUAUUUAUAAAAGAAGAAAGAAACUAUAUGAUAUAUAUGAAGAGUCUUUAUUUAGUGGAGAAGGUGGUGAUAUGUGUUUAUACCGAGACUUCCCCUCGUUUAUAUAAUGGUCUUAGCAAAGAUUUUAUAUUUCGAAGAUGGGAUCUUAAUUACUAUUACUUGCUAAAUUUUGUUACCAACAAUAAUUGGAUUCAGCGAUUUUCUGAUAUAUUGUAUCAUAUAUUAAAUGUCCAUGGUCCAUCUUAUCGUUGUUAAUUUAGUCUAUAGGAGGCACUUUAUGAUAUUUUUCAUGCAGGGGUGGUUGAAACCUAUUGACUUUUGUUUGAUUUCCUUAAUACGACAACGGCAUUCAAAAUUCACUCUCUUUUUAUUUUUGUUUCCCUCAUCAACGUUAUUGCACGAGACACAUGCGUACAACUUUUGCCACAAGGAUUCCGCAAAUGUAUAUGUUUAAUUUUUUAUUGUUAGAAAUUGCAAGAUGAGCAUGCAUACAUUGUAACUCUUUUUUUUUUUUUUUUUUUUUUUNNNNNNNNNNNNNNNNNNNNNNNNNNNNNNNNNGAGAGAGAGAGAGAUAGAAAGAAAGACAAAUGAUUUUUAAAAAGUGCGUGCAUACGCGCCACCAAACGGAAAUUGAAUUGAAGCGAAUCACCACAAUAUGGUUAGAAGAAGAGAAACUUAACUGUUUAUGGAAAGAAAAGGAAAAAAAGAUAGUCACACACUCACACUACUUGUCGGCUUGUGGUUCUUAAUUUGCCCCCUCCUCACUAAUUAUCUUUUUACCGAGAAGUCAUUAAUACCGCCAUGCUAACAAAAAUUUAUUCUUAAAUCUUUAUAAAUAGUACAUGUACACAUUUAUGUACGACAUGGAACCAUAUAUGCUUAUACUACUUGUUUUUAACCAACGAACCGUGAAACCAAAUCAAGCAAUGAACUAACGAAAUCGGUCAGAGAAGCUUGAUUUUAUUAUUGGCAUUAUUGGUUAGCGGAGAUAGAAGUUAAUACUAUCUCUCAUCAAUCCACUUCGACUUUGAAGUUGGCAAGGCCCUUCUCAAUCAAUGCAGCCAGCUCAAAAGCCUUACUACUAUUUCUUCAUCUUUCUUCAUUUUCUUUUGGGUGAAAUUUUUAUAUAUGCGUAACGUUAAAAUAAUAUGAACUCUCCUUUUCUUCGAAAAUAAAAACAAGAGACGACUAAGAACACAUGCAAAACAUAGCAACUUGGUGACAAGCAAGAAUGCAUAUAUAUAUAUAUAUAUAUCACUUUGAUGACUAUAUACAAAAAGAAAAAAGAAAAACAGCACGUAAGUAUAAAAUUGAUGCAUAAUUACGAAUAUUUGAUGACGCAAAGUCGACAUGUGUGCAUGCAAUUAGCUAAUCCGACUUUCAAAUUGAGAGACGUGACGUGAUUACUGAUUGUAGUCCGGUUUGCGUUUUAGGUGUUACAAUCUUACAACGCGAACUAGUAUAAAAAUGGAGGAUACAUACAUUGUUUGUUUCUUCUUCUUUUUUGUUUGUUUUUGUUUUAAAUGGUAAUAUGGUUAGUCAAAUUAUAUAUGUAUAAAGAGAUAUCUCAUCAUGAUCAUUAUGUCCAUUGCCAUUGCCAUAUUAAAGAUCUACCUACUCAUCCACGCCCAUUAAUAGGAUGGCUUUGGACAGUUGUAUAUAUAAUAAGAGGCUGAAGUUGAAAGUCAUUAUACAAUAUUCAUCUUCCGGUAUAAUCAUCUUCACAAGAAAAAAAGAAAUACUUGCUUACUGUACGUACACAUGAAGAGAUUAUCCAUCACCAACCAUAAGUCCCAUUCUAUUAUAUAUCAAAACAUGUAAUAAAUAGCGUAUUUGUGUAGAUGGCGAGUGUGUAGAUGUUGGUUAUUUGUAUAGUCGAUCCGGGUCACUAAUUAAUGUGUAGAUGUUGGUUACUUUAUUAUAUAAGACUGUUAAUUUACGCAACAUAUAGAACUUCACUUUUUUUCUUAUAUUUUGCAUUUGGUUUAUAGACACUCGUAUAAUGUAUAGUAUUAUAAUUUAGUUGAAUUAAUAUGCGUCAUUUUUAUAAGGAAAACACACAGUUACCAAAAAAAAAAAGUUACGUACUAAUCUUUACGUAAAUACGAAAAUGAUUUCUUCUACGUUUAAAGUUAUAAUCACAGUGAGAAGAGAACCGAAAUGUUAUAAUAUUUAAUAUGAAGAAAACAAGUUCAUAUUUGAGUUAAAACCUGUCAAUGUAAUACAGAUUCAAAAAUAUAGCAGAAAGAGCACACAAUCGACUUUUAGUAAGGAUGGAAUUAUAAUAAUAUUCAAAACAUGUAAUCGACGUUAAAAAGAUUUACCACUAGAAAUUAACAAUGAUAGACAUAUAUAUAUUAACAAAACCUAUCUUAGGUAGCAAUAAAUAUAUCCACAUGUAGAAAAUUAAUAAAGGAGCUAAUAUUGGGGGCAACAAGGAACAUAGUCCCACAUGGUGCGAGUUUUGCGAUAUUAUUGUAUGUUAGGUGACGUGCGAUAAAUAUGUGAACUGUAUAAUGGUUCCACAUUGAUAUUAAAUCAAAAUUUGUUUUCAUGUAUCCAUAGAAAUGAGACGUACUUAAAAUAUCCCGACUGAUCGAGAUCUGGAUGUUGACAUAUUCUCUGAUCUGAUGAGCAUACAUACAACUGCAUUGUUCAUAUAAACUUCCAGUCGCAGAGAUGUAUUGAAUGUAAAAAGGACCCAUCCAUGAUAUUGGACGAAAAGAUUUUUACUAUUUGUACAAGUAAAACUACAAAAAGGUUGUUGUUAUGCUGUCCAAAUUGGUAUACGGAUUGAGCGAUCGGAUUGUUUUGCAAUGAAGUAAAAUUUUGAACAAACAAAAAAUCAGCUCUAAUUAACAAAGUAGGUCAAUAUGUGGACACAUCUCCCAUCGGUAAGUUAGUUUAUCAAUUGGGUGCAAACUCGAAUGCAUUCCCAAAUCGAAGCUAUACAUAACUAAGAGACAAUAUGAGCCUUUGCCAAAUAUUGUAUUUCUAUGCGACAAUCAAACUUUUUUCCCCUAUUCAAAAAUAAAUUGGUAUUUCUUAGAAGUUAUAACUAUAAUUGUUCCCUUUUUAAAAAUAAAUUUGUAGUUACGGAUUGCAAGAUUUGUCCUCGUUUAUUAUUAUAUAUUUUUUUGUAAUAUUGAAAACUUUUUUUUUUUAAUUUAACUUUAUAUACUGUGAGAAGAACUUCACAUUAUAAAUAACACAAACGAACAUAACAUAUUUAUCAGCGCAUAUAUAAUACUAUAAUUCAGUAAUGUGAGGAAAACUAAUUCCCACCGAAAAAAAUGCGAGGAAAACUAAUUAUGUCCGUUAUUCAAAACCCUCCGACUCUGCUAGAGUCAUAGAUAAGACAUUAUCAUCGUGAAAGUCUUUUUAUUUAUUUUUAGUCAUAGUCUCCUCAUAGAUAAGAUAAGUCAAACAUUGAAAAAUUUCGAGCAAAGUAACUGGGCCUGUUGAUAUCACAAAUUGGGCCGGAUAUAUACUUAACGGUCCACAGAAGGAUGUGGAACGGGUAAUUUAGUAAAAUUAGGGCAAGUCAACCACCAAAACCAGACUUUUGAAGUUAAUCUCUCUCGAUCAUAAAAAAAGAAGAAGAAAAAGUUACCUUUUUUCACUUUGCCGAGGAAAUCAGAGAGAGAAGAGGAAGAAGAAGAAAAGCGAAAAACAUGAAGGCGACGACGAAGACUCCGAUCCACGCGGUGUGGUCAUGGGUCAGGAGGCAACCUCCGAAGGUGAAGGCUUUUCUCUCCGUGGUCACUGGCAUGGCGGCUUUAGUUCUUCUCAGAUUCAUUGUUCACGAUCACGACAAUCUCUUUGUUGCCGCUGAGGCUGUUCAUUCCAUCGGGAUCUGUGUCCUCAUCUACAAACUCAUGAAGGAGAAGACCUGCGCCGGUACUAUUCUUUUCUUUUCUUCACAUCCAAUUCAAUUUUAGGGUUUUUCAACUCAGUACUACCCCCUCUGCUUCUGUAUUCGUCUCCGCUCCUAGCAAUAUUACUUGUCUACGCCACAACUCUCUUGUUUAUUUCUCAUAUGAUCAGUAAUUCAUUGGGUUCACACUAAUAGCAAUUUACGGUUUUAAGAUGCCUUUUUCUUUUUUAAUGCGAAACCACCUCAAAAACAUGUUGCAGGAUUGUCACUGAAGUCUCAGGAGCUUACGGCAUUAUUUCUAGCUGUUAGGUUGUAUUGCAGCUUCGUCAUGGAAUAUGAUAUACAUACCAUUCUGGACUUGGCUACUUUGGGAACAACCCUCUGGGUUAUAUUUAUGAUCCGUUUUAAGCUAAGAGCUAGUUACAUGGAGGACAAAGAUAACUUUGCUCUCUAUUAUGUGGUAAGCCUAUCUGCUUGUGUUGUUAAAAGAGUUUUUUUUUUUGCUUUGCAGUAACGAUGACGUGGUUUUAAUAUUUGCAGCUUGUGCCCUGUGUUGUGUUAGCUGUGUUGAUCCAUCCAUCGACCUCCCAUAACAUAUUAAACAGGAUUUCGUGGGCAUUAUGCGUAUACCUUGAAGCUGUUUCAGUUCUGCCUCAGCUUCGAGUGAUGCAGAACACAAAGGUCACUACUUUUUUUCACAAUGAUAAGUGGAGAACUAAACAGGACACAUUUGUUUUACUCUCUUAGCAUCUAUUUGGUUGUUUCAGAUUGUUGAACCGUUCACGGCUCAUUAUGUUUUUGCACUUGGAGUAGCAAGGUUCCUUAGCUGUGCUCACUGGGUUUUACAGGUUAGUUUUGAUCCAAUAUCAGUUCAUAUACAUCAAUACAUUGUAUGUCAAAUUCAAAUGCUGAAAGUGGUCUAGUACAAUGUCUAAUGUGUCAAAAUCAGGUUGUAGACACACGAGGACGAUUGCUUGUAGCAUUGGGUUAUGGAUUGUGGCCAUCAAUGGUUCUGAUCUCAGAAAUUGUUCAAACAUUCAUCUUGGCAGAUUUCUGUUACUACUACGUCAAAAGGUACACGAUUAGACCUUCAGUUCAACGUUUUUAGCUCUUUAUACAACUCUAAAAUUUCAAUCUAUUUCUUCUGCAGCGUUUUCGGAGGACAGCUUGUUCUGCGGCUUCCAUCUGGAGUAGUAUAAGUCAAAAAGAUAGAUUUACUCCAAUGAUGUCCGAUGAGCUUGCCAGAAAUUAUAAUCAGAAAAGAGAGCUCAAUUUUUUUCUUCACCUCUGAUUUCACCGUUUUGUGUCUUGAGGUUGAACAAGUGACUCUCACUCGGUAACGGAUUAAUUUUACUGUGUUGUAUAUUCUUGACUAUGAAUGAAAGGAUUUUAUGUCUGUCCGGUCGACAAGUUAUGUUUAGUCAAACUGACAUUUUCUUAACUCGGGUCUUUCGAAAACAAACUACUGUAAUAUUUUGAUAACAACUAAAAGCCAGGACGUCUUAAAAUUUGAAUUGUAUUAUCGAGUAAUAUAAUCACCAGGAAUCAGUAAAACUGCAACAUAGGACGCAGAAUGCAUUUCAAACAAAAAAUGACGGUUGACAAAAGGAGAAAACAAAAAGUUAAAGGUCUGAAAGGUUUUUCCCGUUGAUGAAGUUGAUCACUCUAGUGGCAGUUUCUUCUAGUGCAGCGGUCACAACUGACAAGUUCAGCAAGAACUCUUCUGCCGUAGGUUUAUCUCCGUCCACUAGAUCAGUAACAGCUUUGAGGAAUAUGACUGGUACUUUGAGAAGAUCAGCCACGUAUGCUACAGCAGCACCCUGAAGAAUCCAGAGAGCCAGAUUAGUUUCAACACAACAAAGUAAAUUGAUUUUCUUGCUAUAUUCAGUAAUUCAGAGUUGUUAACAUGACACUACCUCCAUGUCUUUUAGCGUAGCAUCAUUGGCAAUGAUGAGUGACUCAUCUUGCGUGGACAUAUCCAACGAGUCACCAGUAGAUAACCUGCCAAUCUGAAACACCCCAUUAUCUGUGAAAAACUGAAAUAGUUAACCGAGCCAAGCUGCAUCUUGAGUCUACUAAAUACCUUCAUACUGAGUUCCUUGAGGAGAUUGGGUGUCGAGAAUGCCUGACGAAGGCCAACUCCAUACAGAUCAAACAUCUGAAGAGAUACAAAAACAUUGCUCAGAAACUGGCAAGAUGAAGCGGGGAAAAAGGAAUCGCUAGAGAUGGGAAAGAAAAAAAAAUGACCGGGAUAGGUAUUCUUCUAUCAUGGAAGACAACAUCAGAAACCAGGAAUACAUCACCAAUGUUGGCUCCUUUAACCUGCAAUGCUCAGCCAGUCAGCACUUUAGUUACAUGAAAACAAACCAAUUUCCACUAAAUGAAAGAUGUUCAUGAUAGCAACUCAAAUUUAAACAGAAUAUUUCACAGAUUGAAGCCAGUAAAUGAGUAACUAAAUCAAAAUCAAAAUAUGAUAAAGUAUGGUAUUCAGAAAGAGGAUGCCGGAAGAGAAGAUAAAGUACAUAUUGAGAAGGAAACAAAGUACCUUGAAGCCACCGCAGGUUCCGGCAUUGACAAUAAUGUCAGGUUGUAAUGCUUGGAUAGAAGCAAAAGUAAUGAGAGAAGCAGGAACAGUUCCGACACUAUCAAUCCCUGGAGAGAAAUAUCAGUUAGUUAAAGAAGAAAGCUGUAGCAUAAGCAAACACAAAUAUCAAGCUCGUUCGUUCAAUCAAACGCGUAACAUAGAAGAAGCUGAAAAGCUAGGUAGCAACGCACAGACUUGAAAGCAACCAUGAAAGAGAAAAACCUCCAGAGAUUUAGAGUAAGCAAAUAGAAAGAAAGAUGAGAGGUAAGAAAAGCAAAAGUGACCUAAGGCUGCAUCUCUUCCGGGGCAAACUACAUUGAUUCGAAGAUCAUUAUGCACGCCGUGAUACAGGACCCAGGGCAGCCCUUUACCAAGCCUGCGAUAUCAAUUAUCAUCAUCCAAAAUGUUUAAGUGAGAGAUCAAAUGCAAACAAAAAGCAGAAUCAGUAAUCGUAAAAGAAGAGCUCUUAACGGAGAAUCAGUAGCUUCAGAGAGUCCGAACUUGUUGACCAAAGGUAGAGCCUCCGCUUGCAUAGCUGCAGCUCCAUCGGAAGAAAUAAUAAAAAUAAAAAAAAGGGUAAGAAGAAGAAGAAAUCUCGAUCGAUUCGGAAGGGCCAGAAACGAGAGAUGUGGAAAGAGUAAAGUACCGAUGACGAAGACGACCGUGGAAAUGGGUCGAGUAGAAUCCGAUUGAGCAGGCAGAGGUAUGCCCAUGUCACUUGAUCCAUCUCCAUGAGGAGGAGCCAUACCUUCCCCUCUCUUUCCGAUUUUGAUUCCCCAGGAAAAAUCUGAGAAUCGGGAAGAAACGGCAGGAAACUCCGGUGAAUGAAUUACUUUUAUGGGAUUCCCUUCUUUUCUUUUCUUUGGACCCCUUUUGGUUUUUUUUUGGUUCUCUUUCUUUUGCCUUUCCAACUUCUUCAUUGUAUAAACUUAUAAUAAAAAUACAAUUAUUUUGUGAUAAUGACCAUAAUUAAUUAAAUUGGAAGGAUGAUCGAUCAUACGACUACAACUUCUGCUAAACAACUAGUAGAAUCUGUUGUUGUAAUCCAAAUUCUUCACCAUGUUUAUUUCCCACUUUAAUAGCUUUCAGAUAUCAUUAACAUACAAAAUAAAUAAAACGCAGAGUAAAAAACAUUAUGCAUUCCAUAAGAUAAUUAAAAAGAAAAAGAAAAAGCAUGAAAGCAUAUAGAUCACCACACCCACCACAAGAGGAAACCCCAAACUUUCAAUCUGUUCACAAGAAACCUCCCCCCCAUUUUCUUUUUUCUUCAGUGGGUUAAACUAGAGAGCGAAUGGGGUGGCUUUUCUUAUAUAUCCGAUAGCAAAUAAGGUUUUCCUCGUUUAUCUAAAACUUGGAGGGGGUAAAGUUAAGUAAACACUCUUAAACCAUCAUUUUCUUUCCCGUGUAAACACUCCACUAUGAUUAAUUUGAAGGCUCCUCCUCUGUUUGUGCCGGCAGUAAGGUAGCCGAGGUGAGCGGCUCGUGAACCACCGAGUUUGAUGAAACCGAUAUCGGAUUACCCUCUAGCUGCAACAUUAUACUUCCCAAUAUCUCCGCCAUUGUUUUCUUAAACUCUUCUUCCUUCACCAUCUUUCCAUCAUCCCCAUUCACCAUCUUCAACGCUUCCAUUAUCAUAUUGUCCAUCUUACAAUUCAAACAAACUUUUACUUAUCAACAUCCUUGAAACAAAAAAAUGUACUCCACUAAAAACAAAUACUACAGAAUUGAAUAACAUAUAGAUAUAUUAAGACGACAUUGUUUACCUGGGACACAGCGCCUAUUGGUGGUAAUGUAGCCGAUGGUGCAACUGUAUCCAGCACAGCUCGCAGAUACUCUUUAGACACCUUACCGUGACGGUCUUUUGGAAUUGUCUCCAUGGCAACGUUUAGUGCCUGCCACCAAAAACGUUCCUUAUAUAUCGUGACUUAUCAUUUAAUUUUCAAAGUGUUGCCUUCUCGUCGCAUCUAAGCUACAAGUAACAUACAUGACUAUAUGCAUGAAAGAUAUUACCUUAUCAAACUCGAAUUUAUUGGACAAGAGCCUCCUGACGCCGUUCCCAUCGAAAGUGUUUUCGCUGUGAGCCACAAUCACGGGCUGUUCAUUGAGACGUUGAGCCACUUUCUCCACGACUCUCUUAAAUGCUUCCAAGAAUCUCUCCUGAGACGCAGUCUUCUCCCUCUUAUCUUCUUCAUCAAGACAAGAGUCGACUAUUGGUUCUACUAUGUUGCUCAGUACCUAAAACAACAACUUUGAGUUUUAAGACUCACUGAUCCCUACAGCAACAUAUACCAUAAAAAAAACUUGGACACAAAUAUAGUUCAAUAGUUUAUUGGCUUUUUUUACAUAUGACAAUUGUGUAUUUUAAUAAGACUUUCUACGUAUAACUGAGAUAUUUAUAUAUUGCUUUCUACACAAAUGAAAAACUGAUCUGACCGAGUUACCUAUGCAAAACAAGUUAGACUUAUAUGCUUUAUAAUUAUAUAUCUAUACUAUUAAUUACGAUUGUAAAGUAUGUACUUCACGCCAAGAAAAUCCAAAUCAGAAUUUUUUUAUAUAUAUAACAGUAAAAUAAUUGCUAAAAACUAGCUUCAUCUAAGAAACAAGAUAUAUAGAAAAGUAGAUUUCAAAAGAAGAAAAAAAAAAAAGAUAAAGUGAAGUUAUAAAUUACCCAAGGAUCGUUGGGAGGCAUUCCAUGAUCAACAGAAAGAGACUGGAGAGCUUUGACAAUACAGUCACGGAGCGAUGCGUCAUCGCAAGUAGAGAGCUCUGAGUAGAUAGAGACUAUCUCGGUUUCGUAUCCAGGACCGUGAACAAACUCAGAGAGAUCCUCACCGUCCAUCCUGAGGAUGACGAUAGGAUCACGUUUCAGACCAGCAGCCAUACCCAACAAAAUGUCCGACAACACUUCUUUGAACUCGGUUUUGCUCACUUUCUCUUGACUUCCAUGAGUGAAUUCGUUUAAGACCUGUAAUAUCGUGGUGUUUAUUAUUAUAACGUUACAAACGAUGAAAAAAAUAAAUGUACGGAGGAGACAGAUAGAAGGUUGUUGGUUUUAUCUCGUUGUCAUCUUCUUUAAAUACACCCAAAAAUAAAAACAAAACCUAGCUAACGAUAAGUAAUUAAUGGAUACUGAUUUGUAACCAAUGAGAGUAAGAUUCGUAUCCGAAUAUAUUUACUUCCUGUUCUUGGAUAGUUUUUCAACGAGAGUAUCUCUAAAUUAAUUAAUUACUAGGAUUGAUAUCAUCUUGGUUUGAUCAAUUAAUCCACGUGAAUCAUGCGAAACAACACGACGUGAUUUUGGGGUUUCCACGUAGACUAGGUAAAAACAAUUACUACUACUUGUUUUGUGGUUCACACUAAUAGAGUUUUGGGAUAUCUUUUUAUUUGAUUGUUUGAAAAAAUAAGGGAUGGUGGUUGAUCUCAUCUCGUCAUAUACGGACUGUAUAGGGUUUUCAAAAGAAAAAUGUAAUGUGCGAUAUGAUGACGGAAAAAAGGUUCAAGAAAGUCUAGAGCAAAGAUGGCGACGCCGGCUAAACGCUUUAUAAAAGAUAAAGCUUU
rnacentral:lncRNA from 1 species